rnacentral:lncRNA from 1 species
GGGUAUUGAGGUUUGGUAAAUUAACACUCAUAUCAGAUGGGGUAUGGGGACGGCUUGUUAUUUAGAAAUGUUAAAUGAAAGGGUUCACGUGUAGCAGGGACAUUCCUAUGAACCCAUAUGAAUACCAGUAAACUGGUAAAAAAAGUGAUAGUUAUUGUGGAUUUAUUGAUGAUAGACAUACAUUUAUAAUGUGUGCUAUGAUUGUUGAUUAUGCAUAA